rnacentral:rRNA from 1 species
UCCAGACUCCUACGGGAGGCAGCAGUGGGGAAUAUUGGGCAAUGGGCGCAAGCCUGACCCAGCAACGCCGCGUGAAGGAAGGAGGCUUUCGGGUUGUAAACUUCUUUUCUCAGGGACGAAGAAAGUGACGGUACCUGAGGAAUAAGCCACGGCUAACUACGUGCCAGCAGCCGCGGUAAUACGUAGGUGGCAAGCGUUAUCCGGAUUUACUGGGUGUAAAGGGCGUGUAGGCGGGACUGCAAGUCAGAUGUGAAAACCACGGGCUCAACCUGUGGCCUGCAUUUGAAACUGUAGUUCUUGAGUACUGGAGAGGCAGGCGGAAUUCCUGGUGUAGCGGUGAAAUGCGUAGAUAUCAGGAGGAACACCGGUGGCGAAGGCGGCCUGCUGGACUGCGACUGACGUUGAGGCCCGAAAGCGUGGGGAGCAAACAGGAUUAGAUACCCCUGUA